rnacentral:lncRNA from 1 species
AUGGCAGGGACAGCUCCAUCAGGACGACGGGACACGGACAGCCUCGCCAGUAACACAGCGAUGGUACCAGAGCACCGCACACUCCCCGCUCUCUGCCCACCACCACUCAGCUGGAAGGAAGAGCUGCCAACGCUCUCCAGGACAGGUAAGAUUGUCCCAAACCAUUCCCCACUCCGGUCCACAGCAAGCAGGACGAUGACACGCUCGGGAAAGGAUGGCAGUGAGCUCCUUCAGCAUGACAGGACACAGACAGGCUCGCCAGAAACACACAACGAUGGGACCAGACCACAACACUCUCCUCCCUUACUGGCCACGACCACUCAGCUGGAAGGAAGAGCUGCCAACGCUCUCCAGGACAGGUAUGAUUGCCCCAACCCACACCCCAGCAUGAUCUCACAGCAAGCAGAAGACGGACAUGCUCGGGACAGGAAGGCAGUGAUGCUCCAUUAGGAUGACUGGAGAUGGACGGACGUGGUGAGAUGCUGGAGACCCUCGGGCAGAGAGGCGGGGGCAGCCCGUGGUCACAGGGGGAUGCUGCUCUGUUUGGUGCUUCUUCUCUU